rnacentral:rRNA from 1 species
GAGUUUGAUCGUGGCUCAGAUUGAACGCUGGCGGCAUGCCUUACACAUGCAAGUCGAACGGCAGCACGGGAGCUUGCUCCUGGUGGCGAGUGGCGAACGGGUGAGUAAUGCAUCGGAACGUAUCCUGGAGUGGGGGAUAACGUAGCGAAAGUUACGCUAAUACCGCAUAUUCUGUGAGCAGGAAAGCGGGGGACCUUCGGGCCUCGCGCUCUUGGAGCGGCCGAUGUCGGAUUAGCUAGUUGGUGAGGUAAAGGCUCACCAAGGCGACGAUCCGUAGCAGGUCUGAGAGGAUGAUCUGCCACACUGGAACUGAGACACGGUCCAGACUCCUACGGGAGGCAGCAGUGGGGAAUUUUGGACAAUGGGGGCAACCCUGAUCCAGCCAUGCCGCGUGAGUGAAGAAGGCCUUCGGUUGUAAG